UACGUGAGGGUGCAAGCGUUAAUCGGAAUUACUGGGCGUAAAGGGCGCGUAGGCGGCGCGGGUAGUCAUCGGUGAAAGUUCAGGGCUCAACUCUGAAUCGGCCGGUGAUACUCCCGUGCUCGAGCACUGUAGAGGCAGGUGGAAUUCCGGGUGUAGCGGUGGAAUGCGUAGAGAUCCGGAAGAACACCGGUGGCGAAGGCGGCCUGCUGGGCAGUAGCUGACGCUGAUGCGCGACAGCGUGGGGAGCAAACAGG
rnacentral:rRNA from 1 species